AGAGCUUCCCUGAUCCAGGUAUUUGAAUAACAUACAGCUGUCUCCGUGUGAUUUAUUAUAAUGUCUUGUGAAUUCUUUCAGCUUAGGUGAAUAAACGAACACGCAGAACACCCCUUGGGAGGGUGCUUCAACAAUUGGUGAUCCUCCGACGUGAUUCACGGCUGACUUAGGGAAUUUGGACAAAGAGAGAGUGUGACAGAUGAACCUCUGACAUCCAGGGCGCCCACAUGUCAUCAAAAGCCAGUUGCAGAGGAAUAUGCUGACAUCUACUGGACACUGUUGACCGAACCUCCAAGCAGCAUCUUCUCAGUGUGUCAGGUGUGGAAACCCUGGAUUCAAAGUCUCUGCCGCUGCACAUCUCCGCCUGACCCUCCCCAUGUCACUCUGUUCUAUGACCGUUGUCACACUGAAUGGUACCAGAUUUGUUUAAUGAAACAGUAGAAGAGUUCUCAAAACAGGUUCCAGAGAAACCAACCGAGGGACCUCAGACAACCACGUCCGAAGCUGAGUGGAUCCUGCUGAAAGUCAUCAAAAGGAAGUGGUCAGAGCCCAGGUGGACGGGUCCAUUCCAGGUCACAGAGAGAACCUCACAUGCGGUGAGGGUCAAGGGCAAAGGAGACAUGUGGUAUCAUUGGAGCCAGUG